GGGGAAGAGGAGAGGUGGGAGAGGAGGGAGGUUGGGGUAGAGGAAGGGACCUAGGAACGGACCUGCUAGGCCACAGGAAUGGGGCAUCUUCUCAGGGCUGGGGAGGACAUGGAGAGUCGCAUCAAAUGCAAAUGGGUUCCAAAUCGAACUGUGGGAAUUAAGUGCUACCCAGAACUCCAUCAGCAAAGGCUUUCCACCCUAAGGGCUUUAUGAUAUCAAGCAGAACCCGGAUGCCCUGUGAGUACAGUUGAAAGGCUAGGGGUGGGGGUAGGGAGAGACCUUUGUCUUGUAGCUGCUCUCAGUAAAAAUAACAAAUCCUGUGGUGGUGUAUACCUGCAAUCCCAUCACACUGGGAAAGCUGAGGCAGGAGGAUUGCCUUGAGCCCGAGGCCAACUUGGUUUACAAUAAACAAACGACCCCCCAAACACAGCUUUCUGCCACUGACCCCAAAGUGCAGGGGGGAAUCUUGGAACUUCCUGGCACUGAAGGGACCCAAAGACUAAGUUCUCAGCACAAAGGAGAUUUACUUGCCUCAGAGGAACAAAGGGCAGGGAACAAGAGACAAAGACAGGAGACCCAGCAGGAGGGAGAAGGGGAAAGGUAUAUUGGUGGGGGCAGGGAACGGGGACAAAGGACUGCCUCUGGAUAGAGAGGACACAGACAUAAGCCAACAGGCAAAUGGCAGUUUAUAAAGGUAAAAGGGGAAACCCCAGGUUAGAAUGAGGUGUUUCAUUUUGAUUGGGCUUGUUAAUGGGACAGCCAAAAGGGGACUUUUGGUUGCUGGACUUCAAUACUUUGAUAGCUGGACCUUAGUAGUCGCCCAGCUUGGGAGGAGGAGGCUGGCUCUGGCUAGCUUAUGGCUUGAAUGUGAAAUGUCCAGCACUGACUCAUGUGUUUGAACACUUGAUCCUCAGCUAAUGGUGGCUUUGGGGUGAGUUGUGGAACCUUUAGGAUGUCGGUCACUGCAGGGCAGGUCCAAGAGGUACAGCCUGUCCUGCUGAGCUCUUUGCAGUUACCUCACACUUUUGCUGCCUGAGAAACCCCACAAGCUGUCGGAUUCAUGAUCAACUAGGAACCAAAGCAAGUCCUCCCUCCCUGAUGUUGCUUUUGUGUUUGGCCACAUAGGCAAGAAGAAUAACUAAUGUAGGUGGUUGUAGAAUAUUACAUUAAGAAGUGUUACUUUUUUAUAUGCUGUGGAAUAUUUGUUUAAUGAUGCAAAGAUCUGUUGCAUUCUUUUAUUGUUGCAUUUGUUUAACUCUGUGAAGCUGAGUUACUUUGCCUGUCUAAAACACCUGCUAGUCUAAUAGAGAGUUAAAUGGCCAAUAGCGAGGCAGGAGAAAGGAUAGGCAGGGCUGGCAGGCAGAGAGAAUCAAUAAAAGGAGAAAUCUGGGAGGAGAAGGAGAAAGAGCAAGAGAAGAAGGAGGAUGCUAGAGGCCAACCACCCCGCCAGCCACGGAGUAAGAGUGAAAGUAAGAUACACAGAAGAAAGAAAGGAAAAAACCCAGAGACAAAAGGUAGGUGGGGUAAUUUGAAGCUAAGAAAAGAUGGUAAGAAACAAACCAAGCUAAGGCCAGGCAUUUAUAAUUAAGAAUAAGCCUACAUGUGUAAUUUAUUUGGGAGCUUGGUGGCAGGUCCCCCAAAAGAGCAAAAGCCAACAACAGUAGGUUCCUUAGAACAAUGUUUAUUUUCUCUGGGGCAGAGACAUAGAAUCUGUAUUUUUCAGAGCAGCAGCAGAGUUGAGACCUCAUAGAUUCUCAGGCACAGUGCACAUGUGCUGUGGCAGGCCGAAAGUGAGAGGCUACAGGUCUCGGUUGCUAGAAGAGCUUCAGGAGGCCUCCAAGCCCUAAGAGUCAAGUGUCCCAAAUUUCUAUGCCUAGAUGUUGUAACAUUAGCUGCUGUAAGAACCAAGGGACUUGACCACCUAUGACUCAAAAACUGGAACACUAGCUGUGGUGUCGAUCCCAGUACCUAAGGCUUGGGAGCUGCAGCUCCUGAUACUGGCUGCUACCGCCACCAGCUCCUGUUAAGAGCAGGGGAUUACAACUGCCCCCAAUUGCUCAGGGAAGCAAAUCACAGAGUAAUAAGCUCCCACCCCAAACACCGGGAGCAGUACGUCUCUGGACUGUCCAGCCCAUAGCCAUACGCCUGUAUAGUCUUCUAGACUUGCAGCUAUGACAAGCGCUAGAGCCUGUCACCAGACCAUAACCCUGUGACACUCAAGGGCCAGAACUAGAGACACAAGAAAAACGACUUCUCCUCCUUCAGUUUCCCAUCUGGACAGAAGAAAGUGCUGCAGUCAGCUGACCACGAACAGCGGGCUUUCUGUAGGGCUCUUGCACUUCUGAUAAAGAUCAGGGUCUGUUGCUUUUUGACACUUUGUCCUGUUUAUGUGCUUUCAGAUUUUAAUUGUUAAGUAUAAAUUAAUUUUAUAAACAGAAUUGAAAGGGGGAGGGAGGGAGAGAAGAAGGGAGAGGGAGAGAUUCCUCCAGAAGCAAGAAGUCCUCUUUUGUAGGAGCGUGGAGGGCUUGACUAAAUGAUCAGAACGAAGGGACAGAGAGGCCUGGCCCCAAAGAGUCUACAAGCUGGGCAUGAUUGCAGUACCUGUAUUCCUAGCUACUUGAAAGGCUGAGACAGGAGGACUGGAAAUUCAAGGCCAGCCUGGGCUACAUACAUAAGUCUGUGCUUUAGAUCUGAGCAGCAAUGUGUCUACAGUACCACCUGAUGCUUUGACUAGUAUCAAGAAGAUUCUAGAACACUUCUGAGAAAACCAGAAUGUUGAAGAAUUUGCUGUGGAUGAGUGGAAAUAUCCACAGGGACAGCUUUGUUCUGCAGCCCAUCCUCUGGGAACCAGUGACUAUGUGAUCCUUGUUGGGAAGGUCCUUCUUUCCUGGUCUUCUUCUGCAGUUAUAACACACUGUGAUUCUUCUCCUUUGGCACUCUCUCCUAGCCAUGUCCUCUCCUGACUAUGUAAUAGAUCCUUCAGAAAAGAAAAAAACUUUUGUUCGUUUUCUCCAUUCACAUCCCCUUUCUCAAAGAGUUGGAAAUUGGGGACAUAGCCACCUCCUGGACGCACAUAUCUGCAGCGAAAGAAGGUGUUCUCAAGAGAAUCCAAACGAAAUCGAGGAGGGGUAGGAACGGCCACCAAUGGUCCUCACAAAGGGAUGGAAAAGAUUAUAGAAAAAGAGAGGAGGAAGAAGGGGUUUCUCUGGGAUCAAGAUUCCAAGUAGGAGGCUUCAUAGAAUCAGAGCAUUUCAAGACACUGGGGAGGGGACAUUUUGAGCUCAGAUUUCCUGGCCCAUCUCCAUUUCCUGUGUCCUUCUUUUCCCUGAAUGUUGUUUCCUUAGAUCUUCCCUGUUCUCACCCUUAAAGAAGACAAGUGUGAAA